CUCUAAUAAUUAGCGAUGUUGAGCAUCUUUGCAUGUGUCUGUUGGCUAUCUGUAAGUCUUCUUGGAGAAAUGUCUGUUCAGGUGUUCUGCUUAUUUUUAAUCAGGUUGCUUGUUUUUUGAUGUUGAG